UACGUAGGGGGCUAGCGUUGUCCGGAAUCAUUGGGCGUAAAGAGCGUGUAGGCGGCUCGGUAAGUCCGCUGUGAAAGUCCAGGGCUCAACCCUGGAAUGCCGGUGGAAACUGUCGAGCUCGAGUCCGGAAGAGGCGAGUGGAAUUCCUGGUGUAGCGGUGAAAUGCGCAGAUAUCAGGAGGAACACCAAUGGCGAAGGCAGCUCGCUGGGACGGUACUGACGCUGAGACGCGAAAGCGUGGGGAGC
rnacentral:rRNA from 1 species